rnacentral:snRNA from 1 species
CUACUUCGGCAGCAUAUAUACUAAAAUGGGAACCAUAAAGGGAUUAGCACGGCCCCUGCAAAAGAUAACAUUAGAAAAGCCAAAGGAGUGGCUUACAGUA